rnacentral:rRNA from 1 species
CCUACGGGGGGCUGCAGUGGGGAAUCGUACACAAUGGGCGCAAGCCUGAUGUCGCGACACCGCGUGGAGGAUGAAGGCUUUCGGGUCGUAAACUCCUUUUAUAGGGGACGAUGAUGACGGUACCCUAUGAAUAAGCGACGGCUAACUACGUGCCAGCAGCCGCGGUAAUACGUAGGUCGCAAGCGUUAUCCGGAAUUAUUGGGCGUAAAGAAUGCGUAGGUGGUUUGAUAAGUUGUCCGUUAAAGCUCCAGGCUCAACCUGGAAAUCGCGGACAAGACUGUUAGACUAGAGGAUAGCAGGGGCAAGUGGAAUUCCCGGUGUAGGAGUGAAAUCCGUUGAUAUCGGGAGGAACACCAAUGGCGAAGGCAGCUUGCUAGGUUAUCUCUGACACUGAGGCACGAAAGCGUGGGGAGCGAACGGGCUUAGAUACCCCGGUAGUC